CAGCCGUAAACGAUACUCGCUAGGUGUCGGCCACGGUGCGACCGUUGUCGGUGCCGUAGGGAAGCCGUGAAGCGAGCCACCUGGGAAGUACGGCCGCAAGGCUGAAACUUAAAGGAAUUGGCGGGGGAGCACCACAACGGGUGGAGCUUGCGGUUUAAUAGGAUUCAACGCCGGAAAUCUUACCGGGACCGACAGCAACAUGAAGGCCAGGCUGAAGACUUUGCCGGAUUAGCUGAGAGGAGGUGCAUGGCGUAGUCGUGU
rnacentral:rRNA from 1 species